UGAGGAAUAUUGGUCAAUGGGCGGAAGCCUGAACCAGCCAUCCCGCGUGCAGGAAGACGGCCCUAUGGGUUGUAAACUGCUUUUCCAGGGGGAGAAACUUUCCGAUGUAUCGGGAUUUGACGGUACCCUGGGAAUAAGCAUCGGCUAACUCCGUGCCAGCAGCCGCGGUAAUACGGAGGAUGCGAGCGUUAUCCGGAUUUAUUGGGUUUAAAGGGUGCGUAGGCGGAUCGAUAAGUCAGUGGUGAAAACCUGCAGCUUAACUGUAGACUUGCCGUUGAUACUGUUGGUCUUGAGUAUGGUCAAGGUAGGCGGAAUGUGUAAUGUAGCGGUGAAAUGCUUAGAUAUUACACAGAACACCGAUUGCGAAGGCAGCUUACUGGGCCAUUACUGACGCUGAUGCACGAAAGCGUGGGGAUCGAACAG
rnacentral:rRNA from 1 species